CAGACAGACAGGUCUAUUGGACAGCAUUGCUCCAGAAAGGAGGGACCUCAAAUCUAUCUUGUUCACCAUUUCCCUAGCACUUAGAACAGUGCUCAAUUCAUGCUUGUAUUCAAUGGAUGAAUUAGUUGAUGCUGAUGCUUCCGCUGAGAGCCUCCUGCUCUCCUCUGCUGCUGAUGCUCUCUCCUUCUGUCCCUCAGGGAAGGAUGAAGCCAGCAGUGUGGAGGUGACGUGGCCAGAUGGCAAGAUGGUGAGCCGGAACGUGGCCAGCGGGGAGAUGAACUCAGUGCUGGAGAUCCUCUACCCCCGGGAUGAGGACACACUUCAGGACCCAGCCCCACUGGAGUGUGGCCAAGGAUUCUCCCAGCAGGAAAAUGGCCAUUGCAUGGACACCAAUGAAUGCAUCCAGUUCCCAUUCGUGUGCCCUCGAGACAAG
rnacentral:sRNA from 1 species